rnacentral:lncRNA from 1 species
GGGGAUGACCCCCAUGGGACUUGCCCUAUGUUUUAUGCAAUUUGUUUUAUUGUCCUUUGAGCAUUUCUGAAGACUGCAUGUGUCUAUCACUUAUAGUUUUCAAGUUAUAUUCUUUUGAAAAUUUUAGAAAAUAAAAUCCCAUAGGAUUCUAUUGUAAACCCCUCCCUUCUUUCUGCCCCCCCCCCCCCCCAAAAAAAUACCCCUAAAUAGACCCCAAUGCACAAACGAACAAUAAAUUGCUCAUCUAGACAUAUAAGUCUAACAUUCUAUGAAACCCUAAGUUAAUCUGACAAGCGAUUUGUAGAAACGCUGCGGACAAGUUCAUUUUUAAAGUGGCGGAAGAAGAGGAAGAAGGAGAAGAAGAAGAGGAAGAAGAAGAAUAAUAAAAAUAAUAAGAACUGAGCAAAAACAAUAAGUCUCCAAACUUUGUUUGGGAGACUUAAUAAUCACAAAAUGCGCGCAAAUGAAAUGCGUCCGCAUAACUUUCACUUACGGAAAAGCGAUUUAUGUUGUACAAACGGGUAUCAUUAUUUGCGAAAGA